UGGAAACACUGGGAGGCAGGAAGUUUGAAAAAACGGCCACUGCCGCCCCCAAUGUCUCGGUCGUGGGUUCGUUAUGCCACUUGUGCGUCAUUCAAAGCCGUUCUGUACAUUUAUACUGGAUAUUAAUUGGAGUCAUUUAGCUGUGCUGAUUCUGCUUGCCGUGUGUUUUGCAUCAGUGCUUCGUGACAUCGGCUGUAUUGCGUGUUUUCGCCGACGGCUUACUACCACAAUGGCGUGAUCUGCGUUCGCCGCCUUCGUGUCUCGGUGCGUCUUUGUAUACGUCGCACGUUCGGACAACACUUUUUCCGACGGUUGGACAUCCUUCUUGUACCUUGGCGCUAGCUGGAUGACGGGACCUCAUCAUGAUCAGUGUAUUGCUUGCCUAUGUCUACAAGAACCGUCACGCGUGGCCUGUGACAGCAAGCUUUUGUGGGCAGCAAGUGCUCUCCUACGAAGGCUGGCCUACUCUGGCAGCGGCGGCAAUCAUCUUCAAGAUUUAUCCAUGAUCACCUUUGCUGCUAUUUGUCACUCUUGUUGAUUACACUUUCUGCAUCUUUUCUAAUUUAUUAGGUAAUAAAGUAUGAGUAUGUGACAUGGUGUGAA